GACGGAAGGUGCAAGCGUUGCUCGGAAUCACUGGGCGUAAAGGGUGCGUAGGCGGCCGUGUAAGUCUGGCGUGAAAGCCCCGGGCUCAGCCCGGGAAGUGCGCUCGAAACUGCGCGGCUCGAGUGCCGGAGGGGAGAGUGGAAUUCCUGGUGUAGCGGUGAAAUGCGUAGAUAUCAGGAGGAAUACCGGUGGCGAAGGCGGGUCUCUGGGCAACAACUGACGCUGAGGAGCGAAAGCGUGGGGAGCGAACAGG
rnacentral:rRNA from 1 species